UGGCAAGGAUUACUCUAUUGAAAAUGCAAAAGCAGCUCUGUGUUAGUCUUCUCUUAAGGUCGAUGUUUCAUGCAGCAAUGUUGGAUGCAAGACAAUUUGGGAAGAAGUAUGGCAUGGCUCAGUGCACUAGGGAUAUAAGUAGAGCUGACUGCAACAAUUGCUUGUAUACUUAGCUAAUGACAUUUAGAGCCACAAUUGGAAAUAAGAGAGGAUGGGAGGUGUAUGGAUGAAGUUGCAGUAUCUGGUACCAUGAUUAUCAGUUCUAUUCAAACUUUUCCAUCACUGCAAAUGAUGAUGCAAGAAGAUUGUACUUGCAAGGAGUUGCAAUUGGCAUAACAAUGGCGGGCCUAGUGUUUAUAUUUUUGCCAUAUUCAUUCAUUGGCUAUUCAAUCAUGUUGAGGUCAAAGCUACAGUUGACGGCCAACAUGGUUAAUUCGAUUGAUGCAGAAAGGUCAACAAAAACCAUAUAUACAUAUUCUUGUGUAAUUUACUUUCUUAGGUCAGGGAAUUUCUUAUUGUAAUUUAUUUUUUUCUCUUUGAAUCUUUUCUUUGACACCAUAUAUCAAUAUUUAAUUUGAUGUAUAAAAUAUAAAAUAUAAAGUUAAUAGAUACAAAAU